rnacentral:rRNA from 1 species
AUUGAACGCUGGCGGCAUGCUUUACACAUGCAAGUCGGACGAGUGGCGAACGGGUGAGUAAUAUAUCGGAACGUACCGAUUAAUGGGGGAUAACUAAUCGAAAGAUUAGCUAAUACCGCAUAUUAUUCGAGUGGCCGAUAUCUGAUAAGCUGGUUGGUGGGGUAAAGGCCUACCAGGGCGACGAUCAGUAGCGGGUCUGAGCGGAUGAUCUGCCGCACUGGAACGGAGAGACGGGCCAGAGGCCUACGUGAGGCAGCAGUGGGGAAUGUUGGACAAGGGGCGGAAGCAGGAACCAGCCAUGCCGCGUGUCUGAAGAGGGCCUUCGGGUGGGAAAGGACUUUAGUCAGGGAAGCGGUACCUGAAGAAUAAGCGCCGGCUAACUACGUGCCAGCAGCCGCGGUAAUAC